rnacentral:rRNA from 1 species
AGUGGCGCACGGGUGAGUAACGCGUGGGUAAUCUACCUUCGAAUUGGGGAUAACGUUGCGAAAGCGACGCUAAUACCGAAUAAUAUCCAUUAGUCUUCGGGCUUUUGGAUCAAGGGUGGCCUCUACAUGUAAGCUACUGUUUGAAGAUGAGCCCGCGUACCAUUAGCUUGUUGGUGGGGUAACGGCCUACCAAGGCAACGAUGGUUAGCUGGUCUGAGAGGAUGAUCAGCCACACUGGAACUGACACACGGUCCAGACUCCUACGGGAGGCAGCAGUGAGGAAUUUUGCGCAAUGGGCGAAAGCCUGACGCAGCAACGCCGCGUGAGUGAUGAAGGCCUUCGGGUCGUAAAGCUCUGUCAAGUGGGAAGAACCUAUAUAAUGCCAACACCAUUAUAUACUGACGGUACCACUGAAGGGAGCACCGGCUAACUCCGUGCCAGCAGCCGCGAUAAUACGGGGGGUGCAAGCGUUAUUCGGAAUCAUUGGGCGUAAAGAGCACGUAGGCGGCCUGGUAAGUCAGAUGUGAAAGCCCGGGGCUUAACCCCGGAAGUGCAUUUGAUACUGUCAGGCUUGAGUAUGGGAGAGGGAAGUGGAAUUCCCGGUGUAGAGGUGAAAUUCGUAGAUAUCAGGAGGAACACCGGUGGCGAAGGCGACUUCCUGGACCAAUACUGACGCUGAGGUGCGAAGGCGUGGGUAGCAAACAGGAUUAGAUACCCUGGUAGUCCACGCAGUAAACGUUG